GCCCGCCUAGCUCAAUCGGAUAGAGCGUCAGACUCUUAUGUGCAGUAGAUGUGCCAGCAUGUGGAUAAUCUGAAGGCUGCGAGUUCGACCCUCGCGGUGGGCU